rnacentral:rRNA from 1 species
CGUCGGAUGUGAAAACCUGAGGCUCAACCUCAGGCCUGCAUUCGAUACGGGCAAACUAGAGUUUGGUAGGGGAGACUGGAAUUCCUGGUGUAGCGGUGGAAUGCGCAGAUAUCAGGAGGAACACCAAUGGCGAAGGCAGGUCUCUGGGCCAAUACUGACACUGAGGAGCGAAAGUCUGGGGAGCGAACAGGAUUAGAUACCCUGGUAGUCCAGACCGUAAACGGUGGGCACUAGUUGUGGGAACCUUCCACGGUUUCUGCGACGCAGCUAACGCAUUAAGUGCCCCGCCUGGGGAGUACGAUCGCAAGAUUAAAACUCAAAGGAAUUGACGGGGCCCCGCACAAGCAGCGGAGCAUGCGGCUUAAUUCGACGCAACGCGAAGAACCUUACCAAGGCUUGACAUAUAGGGAAAAGUGGCAGAGAUGUCAUGUCCGCAAGGGCCCUAUACAGGUGGUGCAUGGUUGUCGUCAGCUCGUGUCGUGAGAUGUUGGGUUAAGUCCCGCAACGAGCGCAACCCUCGUUCUGUGUUGCCAGCAUUUAGUUGGGGACUCACAGGAGACUGCCGGGGUUAACUCGGAGGAAGGUGGGGAUGACGUCAAAUCAUCAUGCCCCUUAUGUCUUGGGCUGCACGCAUGCUACAAUGGCCGGUACAGAGGGCUGCAAUACCGUAAGGUGGAGCGAAUCCCAAAAAGCCGGUCUCAGUUCGGAUU